rnacentral:rRNA from 1 species
UACGUAGGGGGCUAGCGUUGUCCGGAUUUAUUGGGCGUAAAGAGCGUGUAGGCGGCCAGGUAGGUCUGGUGUGAAAACUCGAGGCUUAACCUCGAGAUGUCAUCGGAAACCAUCUGGCUAGAGUCCGGAAGAGGAGAGUGGAAUUCCUGGUGUAGCGGUGAAAUGCGCAGAUAUCAGGAAGAACACCAAUGGCGAAAGCAGC